UGGUCCUACAGAAAUUUAGAAGCCUCU
rnacentral:piRNA from 1 species